UACGUAGGGUGCGAGCGUUGUCCGGAAUUAUUGGGCGUAAAGGGCUCGUAGGCGGUUUGUCGCGUCUGCCGUGAAAGUCCGGGGCUUAACCCCGGAUCUGCAGUGGGUACGGGGAGACUGGAGUGCAGUAGGGGAGACUGGAAUUCCUGGUGUAGCGGUGAAAUGCGCAGAUAUCAGGAGGAACACCGAUGGCGAAGGCAGGUCUCUGGGCUGUUACUGACGCUGAGGAGCGAAAGCAUGGGGAGCGAACAGG
rnacentral:rRNA from 1 species